GGGUGGGAGCGCCUGUAAUGGUCCUGGUGAUUGUUGCUGUUGCUCAUUGUUACAGGCAAAGAAACAGAAAUUCAGGAAAUAAGAACUCUUCACUAGAGAUGCGAGAACAACCCAAUAACAACCAAAACCUCCAGGGCAGUGAUGAAUCUCUGCUCGUAAACAGCAGAGAUCAAAACUAUCGAAUGAGAAAUGAUGAGUGAGACGUCAUCAAAGUAACAGCACACAGACACCCCGACGGUCCAGAUUCAGGCUAAAGAUCAGUUAUAUUACAUUGUUAAUGUGGUGACUUAUGCUCCAGCGUCCCUUUGAGCAGACUGCUGAAUGAGAUUUUAAAACAGCUGGUGUCAUUUUAACGUUAUGUCUAAGUGGACAAGUGUGUCCUGGUCUACAGCAGCAAACUCGUUGUAUGAUGGCUGCAUUUGGUUUGUAGCUAUUUUUUUGUUUUUUAGUCUACGACCAACUGGUAUGAACUAUCUGUCUUUCCUCAAUACAGCAAACAUGAGAUUUUUCUUUUUUCACAUUAACUUUGUUAAUGAGCUUUUUGUUUAAACCACCAUCACUCCUGAGGUAACACUGUGAAAGCUGUCCUGUCUGGCUUCCUCCUCUGAUGUUAGUUCAUUUACUUCAUAUGCAGACGUUCUCCUUCGUUUCUGGUUUAGCAGCGCAGACUUCUCCACGCGAACACUGUCACC